CCUACGGGAGGCUGCAGUGGGGAAUAUUGGACAAUGGGCGAAAGCCUGAUCCAGCCAUGCCGCGUGUGUGAAGAAGGCCUUCGGGUUGUAAAGCACUUUCAGUGGGGAAGAAAGCCUUGGGGCUAAUACCCUCGAGGAAGGACAUCACCCACAGAAGAAGCACCGGCUAACUCCGUGCCAGCAGCCGCGGUAAUACGGAGGGUGCGGGCGUUAAUCGGAAUUACUGGGGCGAAAGCGCGCGUAGGCGGUCUGAUAAGCCGGUUGUGAAAGCCCCGGGCUCAACCUGGGAACGGCAUCCGGAACUGUCAGGCUAGAGUGCAGGAGAGGAAGGUAGAAUUCCCGGUGUAGCGGUGAAAUGCGUAGAGAUCGGGAGGAAUACCAGUGGCGAAGGCGGCCUUCUGGACUGACACUGACGCUGAGGUGCGAAAGCGUGGGUAGCAAACAGGAUUAGAUACCCCUGUAGUC
rnacentral:rRNA from 1 species